rnacentral:rRNA from 1 species
CAGAGACUGCGAGCGUUAUUCGGAUUCACUGGGCGUAAAGGGUGCGCAGGCGGCCAUGUGUGUUGGGCGUGAAAGCCCGGGGCUUAACCCCGGAAUUGCACCCAAAACUACAUGGCUAGAGCGUUGGAGAGGGUAGCAGAAUUCAUGGUGUAGCAGUGAAAUGCGUAGAUAUCAUGAGGAAUACCAGAGGCGAAGGCGGCUACCUGGACAAUUGCUGACGCUCAGGCACGAAAGCGUGGGGAGCAAAAGGGAUUAGAUACCCCUGUAGUCCACGCCCUAAACGGUGCACACUAGGUCUUGGCGGAUUCGACCCCCCAGGGCCCCAGCUAACGCGUUAAGUGUGCCGCCUGAGGACUACGGCCGCAAGGCUA